CGCGGUAUUUUGACUGUGCGAAGGUAGCAUAAUCAUUUGUCUUUUAAUUGAAGACUUGUAUGAAUGGCUGAACGAGAAAAUAACUGUCUCUUUAAAAAAUUUUGAAUUUUACUUUUAAGUGAAAAGGCUUAAAUAAUUUUAAGGGACGAUAAGACCCUAUAAAUCUUUAUAUUAUUUUUCUUUAACUUUCAAAUUAUAUAUUAAAAGAAAUAAAAGAAAAAAAUAUUAUAUUGGGGAGAUAAAAAUAUAAUUUUUAACUGUUUUAAAUAUAAAACAAUAAUUUUUGAUUUAUUAAAAAUUGAUCCUUUUUAAAGAUUUUAAGAUUAAGUUACUUUAGGGAUAACAGCGUAAUUUUUUUUGAGAGUUCUUAUCGAAAAAAAAGUUUGCGACCUCGAUGUUGAAUUAAAAAUAUCCUUAUAAGUGCAGAAGCUAUAAAGGAAAGUCUGUUCGACUUUUAAAAUUUUACAU
rnacentral:rRNA from 1 species